GGCUGCGUGGUCUAAUGGUUAUGACGUCUGCUUCACAUCUUGGAUGGCUCGCUGAAGGUUCCCGGUUCGAUCCCGGGCGCGGUCA